ACUGGCUGCCCGGUCCCGGAUCCCCAAGGGCGACGUUUCUAUUUGGGAUCCACAACAGGUGCCUGAGAAACAAAGCCGCAGAUCGCUCCACCGCUGUGCGCAGCCCCCUGCUGAGGGGCCAGCGGCUCUCCCUGGGACCCCAGAACCUUAACACAAUUCUGAGGUGGAAGAAAUGGGGAACACCAGGCCUGGCCUCAUGGAGACCGGGGAGUCAGAACCUGAGCUCUGGCUCCUGGAGCUGCUGCGAGUGAGUGGUGGAAACCUGCCCCCUUAGAGAAGCUGCAGCUGAUCAGCAUCAUGCAAGGGACUGCUGAGAUGGUAGCAUGCUGGUAAUGAAGUGUUAUGGAGCCACUCCAUCCUUUAUUCAUCCUUUUCCUCAUACACACAGAGAGCAAAGCACAGGAACCAGCUACAGAAUUUGCAAGUGGAGAAUCCAGUGGGUGGGCCUUCUCCAAUCAGGCCUUAAGAGCAAAGACCAUGGUUUCUCAAAGAAAGAAUUUUCCUCAAGACUGCAACAUAGAGACCUUGCCUGAGUUUCCAGCCUGAUACCCUGAAGAAUUUGGACUCAAGACUGCAAUAUCAGCUCUUUCCUGAAUUUCUAGCCUGCUGGCCUGCCCUACAGAUUUUAGAUCUCCCAGCCCAAUUGCAUGAGCUAAUUCCUUAAAAUAAAUAAAUCUCUGUGUGUGUAUGUGUGCUGUAACUAAUAUAUCCUAUUGGUCUGUUUCUCUGGAGAACCCUAACUAACACAAUUGUCUACCAUAUUACUGCAUAAAAGACUUAUGACUCACCUUUACUACAUUUCAGGGAAGUAGAAACACCUGCCAUAAUUCACAUUUUACAGUUUUAUGGAAAGUAGGCAGGACUUUCACCAAGCUGAGUUAGGAAGCCAGAGUGCUUCACCCAGCCCCAUAAUUAACUACCCAUACUACUACACAAGAAAAUUACUUAACAUCUUUAACUUGCUCGUAUUCUAAACGUGAAUAAUCAUACCUACUUCACUAGAUAUUAGUAUUAAAAUGAAAUAAUGUAUGUAAAUCCUGUAAUAUGAUGCCUGCUCAGC
rnacentral:lncRNA from 1 species